rnacentral:rRNA from 1 species
ACGCUGGCGGCAGGCCUAACACAUGCAAGUCGAGCGGUAGAGAGAAGCUUGCUUCUCUUGAGAGCGGCGGACGGGUGAGUAAUGCCUAGGAAUCUGCCUGGUAGUGGGGGAUAACGUUCGGAAACGGACGCUAAUACCGCAUACGUCCUACGGGAGAAAGCAGGGGACCUUCGGGCCUUGCGCUAUCAGAUGAGCCUAGGUCGGAUUAGCUAGUUGGUGAGGUAAUGGCUCACCAAGGCGACGAUCCGUAACUGGUCUGAGAGGAUGAUCAGUCACACUGGAACUGAGACACGGUCCAGACUCCUACGGGAGGCAGCAGUGGGGAAUAUUGGACAAUGGGCGAAAGCCUGAUCCAGCCAUGCCGCGUGUGUGAAGAAGGUCUUCGGAUUGUAAAGCACUUUAAGUUGGGAGGAAGGGCAUUAACCUAAUACGUUAGUGUUUUGACGUUACCGACAGAAUAAGCACCGGCUAACUCUGUGCCAGCAGCCGCGGUAAUACAGAGGGUGCAAGCGUUAAUCGGAAUUACUGGGCGUAAAGCGCGCGUAGGUGGCUUGUUAAGUUGGAUGUGAAAUCCCCGGGCUCAACCUGGGAACUGCAUUCAAAACUGACUGACUAGAGUAUGGUAGAGGGUGGUGGAAUUUCCUGUGUAGCGGUGAAAUGCGUAGAUAUAGGAAGGACACACCAGUGGCGAAGGCGACCACCUGGACUAAUACUGACACUGAGGUGCGAAAGCGUGGGGAGCAAAC